UACGUAGGGGGCAAGCGUUGUCCGGAUUUAUUGGGCGUAAAGAGCGUGUAGGCGGCUGGGUAGGUCCGCUGUGAAAACUCGAGGCUUAACCUCGAGACGUCGGUGGAAACCAUCCAGCUAGAGUCCGGAAGAGGCGAGUGGAAUUCCUGGUGUAGCGGUGAAAUGCGCAGAUAUCAGGAGGAACACCAAUGGCGAAGGCAGCUCGCUGGGACGUGACUGACGCUGAGACGCGAACGCGUGGGGAGCAAACAGG
rnacentral:rRNA from 1 species